CUGGCCCAAAUCGACCUUGAAUACCCCCCGGCUGUCCGAGCGUGCCUUAUAAAUAUAUUUGGCGAAAGGAAUAUAGCGUCAUGCUCUUCAGUUGAUUUGGAAGUGAAUCAAUUUAUUGACGAUGAAAGGGUUUCUUGUUGUAACUUUAUGUGCCUUUCUGUUCUUCGCUGUAUGUUCAGCGGAAGAUAAGAAGGAGGAGCCAAAGAAAGUAGAAAAGGUGGUUUGGCCCGGAUUGUACUCCUGGAAUGUCCAGCAUCCUGUCCAGCUUAAGACAGUCCCUCUGGUGCAUCCAUUCCACUACAAUCCUGUUUAUGGUCAUGCUCCAACUUGGUGGUGGUAAAUAUCCUCAAGUUUGAAUAUGGAAACAAAAUCUGUAGCGGUUGGAAAUAGAAAAGUUCUUCGUAGGGAUAGAUAGAAAAAAAUUCAUUGUUCUUUCAACUUUGUUGUGGAUUUUUAAUAUGUUAAUAAAGUUUUUUCAGUUAAA